rnacentral:rRNA from 1 species
AUGAACGGGGAUUGUGAGAACUGUGCUUUCUGGAGGAAUCAUUACUACUGGGAACACAUGGGUGACGAGAAGAAGCAAUUUUCUGCUGUAGCCAAAGGUGAUUUCAAGAACAACAUGCGUAUACCACGGGAACUUUCAACCAAUCUGAGGAGUAGGAUCUCUGACACCAUUAAACUCAGCGCUCCUAAUGGUAGGGCAUAUGAUAUUGUGGUGACCUGGGAAUCACUACAAAAAAAUACAAUUCUGUGA